GACGAACGCUGGCGGCGUGCCUAAUACAUGCAAGUCGAACGAGAGCGACCGGUGCUUGCACUGGUCAAUCUAGUGGCGAACGGGUGAGUAACACGUGGGUAACCUGCCCAUCAGAGGGGGAUAACAUCCGGAAACGGAUGCUAAAACCGCAUAGGUCUUCGAGCCGCAUGGCUUGAAGAGGAAAAGAGGCGCAAGCUUCUGCUGAUGGAUGGACCCGCGGUGCAUUAGCUAGUUGGUGAGGUAACGGCUCACCAAGGCCGUGAUGCAUAGACGACCUGAGAGGGUGAUCGGCCACAUUGGGACUGAGACACGGCCCAAACUCCUACGGGAGGCAGCAGUAGGGAAUCUUCCGCAAUGGACGCAAGUCUGACGGAGCAACGCCGCGUGAGUGAAGAAGGUUUUCGGAUCGUAAAACUCUGUUGUUAGAGAAGAACAAGUGCUAGAGUAACUGUUAGCGCCUUGACGGUAUCUAACCAGAAAGCCACGGCUAACUACGUG
rnacentral:rRNA from 1 species